rnacentral:rRNA from 1 species
GGGUUAGUAGGUUGGUCAUGCCUCUGGUAUGUACUGUUCUCACUGAUUCCUCCUUCCUGAUGAACCUUAAUGCCAUUAAGUUGGUGUUUUGGGGAAUUUGGACUGUUACUUUGAAAAAAUUAGGGUGUUUAAAGCAAGCUAACGCUUGGAUACAUUAGCAUGGAAUAAUGAAAUAGGACGUUCGAUCCUAUUUUGUUGGUUUCUAGGAUUGACGUA